rnacentral:rRNA from 1 species
UACGUAGGGUGCGAGCGUUGUCCGGAAUUAUUGGGCGUAAAGAGCUCGUAGGCGGUUUGUUGCGUCGGCUGUGAAAUCCCGAGGCUCAACCUCGGGUCUGCAGUCGAUACGAGCAAACUAGAGUGUUGCAGGGGAGACUGGAAUUCCUGGUGUAGCGGUGAAAUGCGCAGAUAUCAGGAGGAACACCGGUGGCGAAGGCGCCACUCUGGGCCGAAACUGACGCUGAGGAGCGAAAGCGUGGGUAGCAAACAGG